rnacentral:rRNA from 1 species
GACGAACGCUGGCGGCGUGCUUAACACAUGCAAGUCGAGCGGUAAGGCCCCUUCGGGGGUACACGAGCGGCGAACGGGUGAGUAACACGUGAGCAGUCUGCCCUUCACACGGGGAUAACUUCGGGAAACCGGAGCUAAUACCCGAUACGACCACCUCGGGCAUCCGAUGGUGGUGGAAAGCUCCGGCGGUGAAGGAUGAGCUCGCGGCCUAUCAGCUUGUUGGUGGGGUAACGGCCCACCAAGGCAACGACGGGUAGCCGGCCUGAGAGGGUGACCUGCCAAACUGGGACUGAGACACGGCCCAGACUCCUACGGGGGGCAGCAGUGGGGAAUAUUGGACAAUGGGCGAAAGCCUGAUCCAGCAACGCCGCGUGAGGGAUGACGGCCUUCGGGUUGUAAACCUCUUUCAGCAGGGACGAAGCGCAAGUGACGGUACCUGCAGAAGAAGCACCGGCCAACUACGUGCCAGCAGCCGCCGCCG